rnacentral:rRNA from 1 species
UACAGAGGUCCCGAGCGUUGUUCGGAUUCACUGGGCGUAAAGGGUGCGUAGGUGGUGAGGUAAGUCGGAUGUGAAAUCUCCGGGCUCAACCCGGAAAUGGCAUUGGAAACUACCUUGCUGGAGGAUUUGAGGGGGGCUUGGAAUACUUGGUGUAGCAGUGAAAUGCGUAGAUAUCAAGUGGAACACCAGUGGCGAAGGCGAAUCCCUGGAAAAUACCUGACACUGAGGCACGAAAGCUAGGGGAGCAAACAGG